UUCACUCUCCAAAAUCUAUCAAAAUUGCACCUUGAUGCGUAGAUUCAGGAAUCCAUUUGUCCAAAAUCUCUCAUAAACUCUAUAUUCCAAAUUUAAAUACUCAUCAUUCCAUUUUUGGGGGCCAUAGCCAUUCUGAUUCUAUCUUGAUUCUCGAAAAUUCGAAGCCCUGCUCCACUCCAUUCCCAAAUUCCAGCUAAAGAUCGAUUGUUACCCUUAUUUUUGUGGCUGAUUCAAUUCCGUAGAGCGAUUUGAACCAAUUUUUUUGCUCAAUAAAACAGUUGAUUCUAAAGCUUCACUAUUUAUGGAUUCACCGAUUUUGAUUUUAGUCAUCGCUCUUCUCUUCGCAUUAACAAUCGAAUCGCAACGAGUCUCCUCCUAUCGCCACCCGCCGGAAUCACCAACUCCGCCGUCUCUUGCAUCGCCGCCGCCCUUUCCUCGCCCCGAUCCGCCGCCUCCUCCGAGAAAGCCCCCAGCUCAUAAAUUGAUCAAAAAUUUGGGCCCGCCGCCGCCCUUUCCUCGCCCCGAUCCGCCGCCUCCUCCGAGAAAGCCCCCAGCUCAUAAAUUGAACAAAAAUUUGGGCCCGCCGCCGCCCUUUCCUCGCCCCGAUCCGCCGCCUCCUCCGAGAAAGCCCCCAGCUCAUAAAUUGAACAAAAAUUUGGGCCCACCGCCGCAAAAGGGGAAGACCAACAAGGCGAAGAAAAUCGGGUUGAUGUUUGUGGGAGUUGCUUCGCUUUUGCAAGUUUGCAUUGUGGCUUUCUUGCUAAUCAGCAGAAGACAGCUCUUGAAAGCUCAAAUUGGCUAUCAAAGAAAUUGAACUUGAUUUCAAAAAUCCAAAUACUUGUAUCUAAGUGGAGUAUUUCAUUCAUUCUUCCUUUAUUGGUGGUGAUUGUUAUGUUGGAACUGAAAAUUGAGGGAGCAAUGCUGCUGAGAAUGAAGAACUUCUGACUCGGAUGCUAUUGAAUGGGCUUGGUUUAGUCCAACAAAUACUAGUUAAAAUUGUGUCCAUUCAUUCUAUGUAAAGUAACUUGCAAAAGUGGCGAUCAAGAAUGCUGAGAUCAAUCUUGUUUUCACCUGUAAAAUGGUGCUGAGCUGAUCCCGGCUGAUCCCGGGCUAGGCUGGACAGGGCUAAGCCUUUCUAUCACCAGUUCGGCUUUGGACCAUGGUGUUGUAGCAUAAAGAAGUGAUUGUUGUAGUGAUUGAAACCAACAACUAAGGUGCGCAUUUUCAUGCUACCUCACUUGAUACCAAUAAAUUGUUAGUUUUGGUUGAAUUAUUAUCUAUUUGUUCAAAACUUGCAUAAUGUAUCCAUUAUUAAAAGUCUUAUUAUUCUUUUGUUUCCUAUUUUCAAACUUACCUUAAUAUCCAUUCAGUUUGUGCUAACAGAAAUGUUGAAAGCACAAUACAUAAUGAUUGAGUAUAUAUAUUUUGUCACAUAAAUCAAGAAAAGAAAAAGCAGAUUGUUGGAGUGAAGUGACAAUUGAUUGAAAUA